rnacentral:lncRNA from 1 species
UAUCCGCCAAAGGAAGUUUGCAAAGACAAAUUAGUUUUAGAUCUAUGACGGAAAUAAUUAUCAAAAGUACCAGGAUUAUAAUUUAGUACGCCAGACGCGCGUUUCGUCUACAUAAGACUCAUCAGUGACGCUCAUAUCAAAAUAGUUAUAAAGCCAAACAAGUACAAAGUUGAAGGGCAUUGAGGAUCCAAAAUUCCAAAAAGUUGUGCCAAAUACGGCUAAGGUAAUCUAUUCCAGGGACAAGAAAAUCCUUGGUUUUUCGAAAAAAAAAUCAAAGGGAAAAGGACUGGGUUAUCCGCAAAUUUGAAAUAAUUUAUAUUUUCAAUCUCAAACUAAGGGAAGUAAUUUUAUCAAAAGGGCCAAAGUCUCGUAUUGCAAAUCAAAUGAAUAAAGCACC